GCACAACAGGGGAGCUCGAAAAAAAAAACGACAUGUUGGGUUAAAAGGAGACGAAAAGAAAAACAAAAACAAAACAGAGAUAGAUAAGACUGGUGCAUUUGCAGCAAAAUAAAAAAGCUUUAUAACAUUCCCUCGACUCCAAGCGCUACCAAAAGCCAAGCCAACCAACUGACCUGCCGCUCCUCCAGCUUCCAGGUCUCUUCACCUACCUGCGUCGCGUACUCGUCCAAGUGCUUCAACUCGGUAUCAAGAGCCCGCCGUAAAGUAGGGGAAGAAGUCAUCAUCACCAUGGACAGCUCAGUGUCGAGUGUGAGUGAUCGGGUGGAAAGGUUUGACGAGCCGACAAAUGUGAGGAAUGGCUUUGAAUUGGGCGGCGAAACCCAAAGCCCUGAAUCCAAAGUCAAUGAAAUAAUCAGAAAAGUAUGACAAUAUUGCUACAGACCUUUUGAAUGUUCUACCAGCCCUGACAGUAUCUCGGUGAAAUCUGCUUUCCAGCAAAGUGUAGCCUUCUGGGAUGAGCCUAGAGAAUCCUUUGGACCCGUAAAAUCCGUUCGCCUUGUAUAUAUCAUCAGCAUACUUGACAUACUUGCGACAAAUAAUACCGCUUUACCUUUGGUGACGCUGCAAUGAUCUUAACGGAUGCCGGUGAUUCCACCACCAACUGCUUGUACUUCUUGUACAGACCAAAAUAUCCACUUGUCAAAUCUACUUCCACUUUUCUGGAUUCGUUCUGCUCCCCUUCGUGACUUUCCUUUACGGCCUUCCAGACUUCUGCCAUGGCCCUUUCCUCUUCUUUGAUACCCAACACCCCAGCUUGAAGGACAGGCCAAAACCAAGUAUCAACGUCUACUCGACGCGAUCUGGCAGAAUUGGAGGCACGCCAAGAGUUUUGAAAGGCUGUCAACGUGGCUAGUGCGUGAAGGGAGAACUUGCGGGGAUUGAUGGAAGAAGAGGGCCAUAUGAGAGAGGCACGGGGUCGAAUUGAAACUGGAAAGCUCGAGGGUUUCGAAUUGUCCGGAUUCUCGGGUGAGGGGAGCGGAACGGUGUUGUAGGGGGAGAUGUGAGGUGGUGGUGAAUGAUGCAGAAGAUAAGAGUAUUGCGUGAAUAGUCGAGUUAAUGAUGAGAGAUAAGAUAACAGGCUAGGGUUGGAUCGGAA
rnacentral:sRNA from 1 species